rnacentral:rRNA from 1 species
GACGAACGCUGGCGGCGUGCUUAACACAUGCAAGUCGAGCGGUAAGGCCCUUUCGGGGGUACACGAGCGGCGAACGGGUGAGUAACACGUGGGUGACCUGCCCUCAGCUCUGGGAUAAGCCUGGGAAACCGGGUCUAAUACCGGAUAUGACUCCAUGACGCAUGUUGUGGGGUGGAAAGCCUUGUGCGGCUGAGGAUGGGCCCGCGGCCCUAUCAGCUUGUUGGUGGGGUGANGGCCUACCAAGGCGACGACGGGUAGCCGGCCUGAGAGGGCGACCGGCCACACUGGGACUGAGACACGGCCCAGACUCCUACGGGAGGCAGCAGUGGGGAACCUUGCGCAAUGGGCAAAGCCUGACGCAGCGACGCCGCGUGAGGGAUGACGGCCU